rnacentral:rRNA from 1 species
GACGUAGGGGGCAAGCGUUGUUCGGAAUUAUUGGGCGUAAAGAGCGUGUAGGCGGUUUGGUAGGUCCGCUGUGAAAACUCGAGGCUCAACCUCGAGACGCCGGUGGAAACCAUCAGACUAGAGUCCGGAAGAGGAGAGUGGAAUUCCUGGUGUAGCGGUGAAAUGCGUAGAGAUCGGAAAGAACACCAACGGCGAAAGCACUCUGCUGGGCCGACACUGACACUGAGAGACGAAAGCUAGGGGAGCGAAUGGG